CGUGGACAGGCGGCGGCGCGCCGGUAGACGGUGUGGCCUCAGAAAGAAGAUUUACUUCGCCUCAAUCGCUUUCAAAAAAUAUGGGGCUUCGAAUCUGGUGCAAGCGGAUCUAGUAAAAUGGAAAUCCGAUGAAAAACAAACCUGUGUUUAACAACUUGUCCAUGAUCUGGAGUUGACGAACAAAGCGAUUUAGAGGAACCAAGACGAAAGGUUUAGAGGAACCAAGACGUGAGAUGGGAGAAAGAGGAACAGAACGAGAAUGGAGAGCGUCGAACGAAG
rnacentral:lncRNA from 1 species